ensembl:snoRNA
AAUGUGGGUGAUGAAAACACGUCCUUAGGUUGGUCUUUUUUGGCCGUUUUGGUCAAAGACUCUGAUCUUCCAAUGUUAGGAUUCGUCAUAGUUACACUGACACAUG